rnacentral:sRNA from 1 species
UAGAUACAUAAGCUAUUGAACGAUCUUUC